rnacentral:rRNA from 1 species
AGAGUUUGAUCCUGGCUCAGGAUGAACGCUGGCGGCGUGCUUAACACAUGCAAGUCGAACGAAGCACCUUUGCGGAUUUCCUCCGGGAAUGAAGUGAUCGUGACUGAGUGGCGGACGGGUGAGUAACGCGUGGAUAACCUGCCUCACACAGGGGGAUAACAGUUAGAAAUGGCUGCUAAUACCGCAUGAGCGCACAGUGCCGCAUGGCACCGUGUGAAAAACUCCGGUGGUGUGAGAUGGAUCCGCGUCUGAUUAGCCAGUUGGCGGGGUAACGGCCCACCAAAGCGACGAUCAGUAGCCGGCCUGAGAGGGCGACCGGCCACAUUGGGACUGAGACACGGCCCAG